rnacentral:rRNA from 1 species
UCUGGAGACAGGUGCUGCAUGGCUGUCGUCAGCUCGUGUCGUGAGAUGUUGGGUUAAGUCCCGCAACGAGCGCAACCCUUGCCUUUAGUUGCCAGCAGUUCGGCUGGGCACUCUAAAGGGACUGCCGGUGUUGAACCGGAGGAAGGUGGGGAUGACGUCAAGUCCUCAUGGCCUUUAUGACCAGGGCUACACACGUACUACAAUGGCCGAUACAAAGGGCAGCGACACUGCGAGGUGAAGCCAAUCCCGUAAAAUCGGUCUCAGUCCGGAUUGGAGUCUGCAACUCGACUCCAUGAAGUUGGAAUCGCUAGUAAUCGUGGAUCAGCAUGCCACGGUGAAUACGUUCCCGGGCCUU